AAUGAUCCUGGCUCUGAUAUGGCCCACAUGUAUCACCUUGACUCAGGGUAUAGCUGAGGGAACAACACUUCCUUGGGAUAUAAGAGCAUGGCUCCAGAUGCACUGCCUUGAGACAGACCCCAGCUUUUCUGUCACCCACAUUGCAUAGAAGUCCCCUGGGACACAGCUACAGGAUACUCCACAAUUGUAAACUUAAGCAGAAGAAUAUAUUAAGUCAUUUUCUGUAGACUACAUAGUAGGACUGUAAAAAGAUAAAACCAGGAAAUUGAUGGCAAUCAGCUUCAUGGUGAUGAAACAG